rnacentral:rRNA from 1 species
UACGUAGGGGGCAAGCGUUGUCCGGAAUUAUUGGGCGUAAAGAGCUCGUAGGCGGUUUGUCGCGUCUGCCGUGAAAGUCCGGGGCUCAACUCCGGAUCUGCGGUGGGUACGGGCAGACUAGAGUGAUGUAGGGGAGACUGGAAUUCCUGGUGUAGCGGUGAAAUGCGUAGAUAUCGGUAGGAACACCAGUGGCGAAGGCGGUCUCCUGGGGCAUUCUUGACGCUGAGGCGCGAAAGCUGGGGGAGCGAACGGG